rnacentral:snoRNA from 2 species
UUCUCCGAUGAUUUAAAAAUACUUUCGUUCUUCUGAAGUUACAAUGUGGAAGAACAAUUUGGAGACCUGAACUGAGGAGAU